UCCGCUUCUGCGUCACUAAAUGGUAAAAUGGUAAAUGGUGCACUUAUAUAGCGCUUUUACCCAAAGCGCUUUACACUGUGUCUCAUUCACCCAUCAGUGGUAGCAGAGCUGCCAUGCAAGGCGCUAACUUCCCAUCGGGAGCAACUUGGGGUUCAGUGUCUUGCCCAAGGACACUUCGGCAUGUGGAGACAUGCUGGCCGGGAAUCGAACGGCCAACCCUACGAUUAGUGGACAACCCGCUCUACCACCUGAUCCACAGCCGCCCCUGUCACUGUGCAGCUAUCUGUUACAAAUGAAUGGGAAAAUAUCCUUGGCAUCCCUGCAAUUCAAGGAUGUUGUAAUUGCCAUGCUGAGGGAGGUGUUGACUAAAUUAGAGAUGGUGCUGGACCAACAAACCAAUGAGAUUGCUUCAACUACAGGUGUUCCAGGUGCAGUCUUUGGAAAUUGAUGAAGAUUUACUGCCCCUGCAAGACCUUCCUCGACUGUGUAGUCUGGAGCAAAGGAUGCAACAGAGCCCAGAUUACAAGCAAAAACUGGUGAGAAUUUUUUUCUUUUUUUGUUAACAAUUGCUUGCACAAUUACACAGCUACUGAGAGUGUUUGUUUUCUCAAGGUGACACACUCGUACUCAAAGCACAACAUUCAACACCACUUUGAUAUGAGGGAACAGUUAUGACCUAAUCUUUGGUAGAGGAGCAAAACAUGGAAAGCACACAGGGCAGGGUAACUGCAGGAGUAGUGAGAAGCACUGACAAAGUUGACAAGGCAAUAAGUGCUUAUUAAUUAUUUAUAUUUUAUAUUAUAUUAUUGUUUUAAAAAUCAUCGGUUUCGAGUAAACUGGUUGGCGCUUAUUGACAGGGCGGAUGUGCUCGACUGCACCUGGCGCAUAUUGAAGAGGGUGAUUGCUAACUCCCUGGCAAAGAACCUCAAUUGGAGGGGAGUCAAUGGAAAGACUUCACUGGCCACUCUCGAACUUGGAGAGGUCAUGAUUGAAACCUCUUCACGGCUAAAGCUGCAGAGAUGGAGGUUGUGGGGACCAUGAAGAGGUGGCUCCAGCUGGCAUCAGAUCGAGAGUGUGGGCGCAAGAGAAGACUUUUGAAAACUUUUGCAAAAAGAAGGUAUUUAGAGUGUUUUAACUGUGGUGUCUUUGUUAAUUUGUUAAAAUGUUCAUAUUAUAGUCUAUUUUUGAUUGUUUAUAAAAGUCCUUGCUGUUUUUAAGUGGUUGAAAUUGUGUGUGUGUUGGUAGCUGGGUGGCUAUACAGUUGCGGUCGGAAGUUUACAUACCCCUUGCAGAAUCUACAAAAUCUUAAUACUCUUAACAAAAUAAGAUUGAUCAUAAAAAUCCUAAGUUUCUUAUUUAGUACCGCCAUGAAUAAGCUAUUUCACAUAACAGAUGUUUACAUAUAGUCCACAAGAUAAUAGCUGAAUUAAUCAAAAUUACCCCAUUCAAAAGUUUACACACGUUUGAUUCUUAAUACUGUGUGUCGUUACCUGAACGACAGGUCCUUCACAUACUUUUUU
ensembl:lncRNA